UGGGGAAUUGUUCGCAAUGGGCGCAAGCCUGACCCGGCAACGCCGCGUGUGGGAUGAAGGCCCUCGGGUCGUAAACCACUGUCAGGAGGAAAGAAAAGUCGGCCGGAUAAUACUCGGUCGACCUGACGGUACCUCCAAAGGAAGCACCGGCUAACUCCGUGCCAGCAGCCGCGGUAAUACGGAGGGUGCAAGCGUUGUUCGGAAUUACUGGGCGUAAAGCGCGUGUAGGUGGUCGAGUAAGUCGAAUGUGAAAGCCCCGGGCUCAACCCGGGAAGUGCAUCCGAAACUGCUCGACUAGAGUCCCGGAGAGGAAGGCAGAAUUCCCAAUGUAGGGGUGAAAUCCGUAGAUAUUGGGAGGAAUACCGGUGGCGAAGGCGGCCUUCUGGACGGUGACUGACACUCAGACGCGAAAGCGUGGGGAGCAAACAGGAUUAGAUACCCCAGUAGUCCCUGAGCGGGCUGGCAAGGCGCAU
rnacentral:rRNA from 1 species